UGCGGGGGCACGUGCCCCCCCCAACCCCGGAAAAAAAAAAGCUUAAAUCAGAUUUCCGCCUCCCGCUCUCGCCUUUGCCCUAAAAAUCUCGCAUCCAGAGUUGUGGCGGAGCAGGUCUGCAGAAACUGUCGCAUGAGGAGAGCGUAGCUUGAAGAAGGUCAUCGAGCUUGGCUUUGUCCUGGUCGACUUGAUGGGUUGUAGAGGAGGCGCAGGAAUGCAGGACGGAGGAGACGGUGAUGAGAGGGAUGUGGGCGAGGAGAGAAAAUUUCACACGAAUUGCUCUCUGUAGCUUGAAGAAGGUUAGUGAAAAAUCUUCUUACCUCAGAAAAAUUUUGAUUUUAUUUGGCUGAAUCGCUCAUCACAUGUUUCCCUUUCUCUGGAUCAGCUUGAUUUGUUUUAUUUGGUUUUUUAUGCUAAUUGUAUGAUUUCCCUGUGUUUGGCUGCAUAUGUUGUGAAAUGAAAUAAAAAAAAAAAAAAUCUCUUGGUGUUGUA